AAUUGUUAACAUUUCAUAAUUUAUUAGCCCCCGUAUGCAUCAAACGGUUAUUACGUAUUUUUGUUUUGCCAAAAUUUUGGCAAAAAUAUAAAUUUUUACAUAUUUACGCAGUUUUGUUAUUGUUUUAUUAGCAACAAUGUUUGGCACAAUCACAGUGGUCGAAAAGAACGCUGAGAGUAACUGCCGGCGCACCGUACACCUACUCACUUACACACUUCCUCACACUGGACGUUACACAUAUACAUACAUAUAUAAAUCUGCUAGCGUACUCCCGGCAAGUGGAGCUCAAGCUUUGCGCGUGCAUACACACGCGCAAGUGGAGGCAUCAAUACAACAGCUAGCGGCAUGUUCGUCACUACGAAUGAGUGCGCGCCAGCAGCGUACGCGCUUAAAUGCUUUAAUUUAAAUUUUAGUCUUUUGAUAUACGCCGUAUGUGAUGCGUCGGUGCUGUUCUGAAAAUUAAUUGCUGUCUUUUAGUUUGCUAAAUAAAUUCGCGUAAAAUAAUUUUUAUGUGUGUGUGUUAUUGUUUUUAUUUGACAAUUCGGUUUUAUGCACAUAAAUAACAUAUCUACCAUAUGUGUCUACAUGCAAAGUAUGAACGCACCUCAAUUAAUGAGAAAUUUUUCGACAUUAAAAAAAAAUAUAUAUAUUAAAAAAACAUAAACAAAAAAAAAAUAUAUUAAAAUAUCUAAUUAAAUUGAAAAUUGUUAGCAAUUAAUAUUAGUAAUAAUAAUUUAGUAAAAAAAAAUAUGCAGCAUUGUUUUUGUGACGCAAAUGAUCGUUUAGUUGCGACCGCCGACGUGGGUUCAAGUUGUCACAAAAUGUACAGAUGUGUGUAUGUGUGCGAACACUUGAACUUGAGCCACCUAGUGCCGUGAAACUUUGUUUGUUAUCAGCACAAAUAAAAAGAAAAAUUUAAAAAUAAAAUGUACAAGAGAAACAACAAAUAUUUUUGUGCUUUUGUUGCCAAUACUGUGGUAGUCAAUAUAAUUAUUACUAAUAUCAGUAAUUAACUCACUUAACAAGUGCUCAUAUGCCUCAUUCAUUAGACGCGCAGUGAAAAUAAAAUCAGCCAUACAAACGUAUGCUCGUACUUUGUGUACACUUUAUUGUGUUAUCAGUUUGACUGCUGGUUUAUACCGCCUAAAUUACUUAUAGUGCUUAUAGUGUUAAAGCAAUGCCGAUUUCUUUGUAUGUUUGUAUGUUCUACAUGUGCACAGUAAACAGAAAGAGCCGAUCACAACAAAAUAGUAAAAAUUGCGAAACACUAAAGAACAAGUACACGAAUGUACAUAUGUACCAGAAGCUAAGAAUAUGGGCAAGCAAUUCAUGUAAUGUUUUUGUGCUUCUUGUAUUUGUUCUACAAUGUACAUACAUAUGUACAUCAAGUGAUGAAAGUGCGAUUAAGAGCAUAACAGGUGCAAAAUUAACAGUAACAAAGACUGGAAUAACUGCAAAGAAUUUGUGAAAAAAAUCAUGUACAUACAUACAUACAUAUCUACACACAUUUAUAAAUGUCUGAAAAGUGUUAUUCGAUUUUUAACUAGCUAAUUAUUGUGAAAGCUAAUAAAUUGUGCACUUUACUAAAUAUGUGACAAGUAGAAAAAAGUAAUUAUCAAUUAAAUGAACUUCCUUAGUAGCGAAUUUAAAUUGGAAUAAAAACACUAUUUGAAUUGGGACUGUGUUCUGGAUUUAUAACUAUGACUUAACCAGCUGCUUAUAAGCAAGCUUUUAAUCCAAAAGUUCUUGGUCUGCCAGCUACAUAAGUUUCUCGCAUUUUUACGAAAGUUAGGACUUAGUGAAGGCAUUCCAUAGAAAAUCGAAUGAUUUAAUGAAAACAAAAGUAUGCUGACUUAUAGAAGACAUUAAUUAACAAUUCGAUUGUAUCCGGAAUCGAUAUAUAUAAAGAGUUUUAGUGUGAAGUAAAUAAGAAAAAAAAGAACGGCUGCCAUUCCUCCACUGAUAUAAAAAUCGGAUAAAAAUUAAAUUAGUUGGUGUGCUUGCAAAACGAAAUUGCGAGAAAAAAAUUUGACACUUACUUAUGUGCAAAUAUCAAUCGAACGAAAAUUUGAAAAAGACAAUAAAAAGAUGCUAAAUUAUUGACGAAAUAAAUGGAAUGGAAUAAACAGGAGGACGCCGAGGAAACAACGUAUGCACAAACGUUGAAGUGAAAGCGGUACUACGACUGCCGGUUCUAAGCAUUUAAUUUACCAGAAUUUAAGACUGAAUCUCGGCUCAAAAAUGCAGCGUAUUUCGUUGGGAACACUGCGGCCAACUCUUCAACUUUGUUGGUUUGCUGCUCUUGUGCUCUUAUUCGGCCAAAUAGCAGCAAGUCAAGGGAUGAUGUCUACAGAAGAGUUGGCAAGCACAUCAUACAAAAAGAAAUAUCCACAUAACUUCGAUUACAAAUGUUUCACGAAUGACGAACCAGUACCAAAUUUCCCAAAUGUACGAGAUGAUUCAAUUGGCCUGCAAGUUUCCGAUCGCGCCUUACAUCAAGUAAUGAGUCGCAUUUUCGCCAUCGUUUUGCGUGAGAAACUUCAUUAUCGUAAUGUCUCACUAGUGCCGCUCGUAAAUACAGUUAAUGUAUCUGUCUACCAAUUCGAAGAGAUUAAUUAUCGCAACAUAUUCGAUCAGUUGAGAUACUUGCCUGAUGGUAUUAUGACAAUGAUCAAUGUAGCGGUUUGGACACCAGCGGUGGUGCGAUCUAUAGUGCCGGAAACAGUUUUGGAGGCUGGCAUAUCGAUAACACCCGGACGCUUCGGCUGGUUUGUGCCGAAAACGCAGGUCGAUAUGCCAUUAGAGUUGGCCGCAUACAGUCUACACUACAGCAUAUUUCUCAAUCAAACGCAUGGCGAUUAUGGACGUUACGUAAUACCGGUAGAGAUACUAGAUGAAAUGCGUGUGGGUAAAAACUACGAGGAAUACAUAAGCCCAAAUUGCGUGGGAAGAACAUGUGUCACACUGUUGGCCGAGCAUAAGCCCGACACCGCCUUCGUCAUGCAUCAUAUAGCCAGUACCAACAGUUACGUCAAUGUGCUCUGGUUGGGUGCGGAUUUUCGCGAGAAGCUGCGUCAACUACAUGGCAAAUAUCAGGACAAGUUUAACGCUGAAUUGCGUCAUAAACGCUUUAUUGUGGUGCACUGGACGCCAUCCAUUGUGAUCGAUGGCGAAAUUGAGUUCUACCAAAUCACGUUGCCGCGUUGCGAAGACUUGACCGUAUUACAUUUAACCGCGUGCAAAUAUGAGCUCACACCGGUACUCAAGUACUAUGAGCAAAGCCUGACUGACGAGCGCUUGGUGUCCGCUUUACGCGAAUUUCAAAUAUCCGAUCACAUGCUUCAGUUGCUACAGCUAAGUCCACAUUGGUAUAGCACCGAUACGAGUAUCGAGGAUGUCUACAAUAAAGUGGCAUGCGAUUGGCUAAAGUCCAACGAGGAUACAUACACGCAAUGGAUUAGACCUAAGUCGCCAAUUACAUUAUAUAUCGGUGGCAUUUUUCCGCUUAAGGACUUCAGUCGUGGUCAUCAGAAUCUCGAGAAAGCCGUUAGGCAGGCUGUUAAAGCUGUAAAUCAUAGUGGUUUACUUAAGAAUUACAAUAUCGAUGCGAAAACUCACGACGGUCAGUGUAAAGCGGACGAGGUUAUGAAAAUAUUUAUACAUUAUUUUUCCGAGCCGCGUGUCUUAGGUGUGCUGGGUCCAGCUUGUAGUGAAACCGUCGAACCAAUAGCGGGUAUAUCGAAGCAUACCAAUAUGGCGGUGAUAUCGUACUCGGCGGAGGGCGCCACAUUUACCGAUCGUCGUGCUUAUCCGUACUUCUUUCGUACGAUCGGUUCAAAUCGUCAGUAUGAGGACGUGUAUGUCGAGCUAAUGAAAUUUUUGGGUUGGAAGCGUGUUGCUGCACUUACGGAGGAUGGACAAAAGUAUACCGAGUAUAUAUCGCAUAUGGAGGCGGCUAUGAAACAACAAAAUCUGGAAUUGAUUAUAAAUAAGAAGUUCCUAAGCGAUGUGAAGGCUUCGGAAAUGAACAAACAUUUAUUGGAUCUAAAAGAAAAGCACGCUAAGAUCAUUAUUGCGGAUAUACAUAGCAGGAAUGCCGAGCUGGCGCUUUGUGAGGCCUAUAAUUUAGGGAUGACAGCGUACGAUGGCUAUGUUUGGUUCUUGCCCUCAUGGAUAUCUAAAGACUGGAGCACUUUGGCUGGCAAUCACAACUGUACAAAAGAGCAGUUAAAUAAGGCUAUAGAAGGUCAUUUCAGCAUAAUGCACACACCUUUUGGCGAUCUUAAUGGUACCAUGCAGGAAAAUAUAACCGUACGAGAAUGGUUACAUACACAUUCCCAAACGAAUGAUGUACUCUCGAAUUACACCGGUUACGCGUAUGAUGCCGUUUGGGCUUACGCCUACGCAGUGGCAAAGUUGCUGACCGAGAACGAAGACGCGGUAAAUAAUUUGCGUAGUAAAAGUGUGGUCACGCGUUUGGUACAGCUCAUUUGGCAGACAAAUUUCACGGGACUCUCUGGCCGUGUGCAGUUCGGUCAAGGCGGUUCGCGCAUCACCGAUUUAGACAUCGUGCAAUGGCGCAAUACACAAUUUCAUUAUGUUGGCAAAUUUAAUCCACGCGUUGUAGGUGAGGGCAAUCUUAUGCGUACCAAUGGUGGCCGCUUGCAGUUGAGUGAAGCUAAAGUGACGUGGCUGGAAAGCGGUGGUCAGCGACCAAGCGAUGGUACGUACGACUGUAGCUUUGCGCUGUUAGCGAAAUUACUCAAUAAGGAUUGUGAGAGCGCAGCCUUUACGUUCACGGCUGUGGUGUGUCUUUUAUUUGUGGCAAUUGUAUCGCUAACCUCUUUUCUCUUCUGGAAGAAACGUUACGACAAGAAACUGAAGCGUUCAGCGAAAAUAAUGAAAAAUUUCGGUAUUGACUUGUUGUCACCGUCGCGUAAUAAGAGCAACACGCUUGACAAAUGGGAAGUGCCGAAAGAGAAUGUGGUGCUUAAUCGGCGCUUGGGUAAAGGUGCGUUCGGCAUGGUGUAUGGUGGUGAGGCACAAAUUGGUGCCAGUGGUUGGACGGCAGUGGCAGUCAAGACACUAAAAGCUGGCGCCUCCACAGAAGAUCGUUUGGAUUUCUUAUCCGAAGCAGAGGCCAUGAAGCGUUUAAAUCACAAUAACAUAGUCACACUCUUGGGUGUUUGUCUGCAAACUGAACCGAUUUACACCAUCAUGGAGUUCAUGCUUUACGGCGAUUUGAAAACAUAUUUGCUGGCGCGCCGACAUUUGCUUAAGGAAAAGGUGACCGAAGACUCGGAUGUCUCCUCGAAACGUUUAACCAUGUAUGCCAUGGAUGUGGCGCGUGGACUCGCCUAUCUCGCCAGCGAAAAGUAUGUACACCGCGAUGUGGCUUGUCGCAAUUGUCUGGUGAAUGCGCAACGUGUCGUCAAACUCGGCGAUUUCGGUAUGGCGCGCUCCACAUACGAGAGCGACUACUAUCGUUUCAAUCGAAAAGGCAUGUUGCCUGUACGCUGGAUGGCGCCGGAAUCGCUAACUUUCGGUAUGUUCACGCCUGCCUCAGAUGUUUGGGCGUUUGGUGUUGUGCUAUACGAGAUAAUCACCUUCGGUUCUUAUCCAUAUCAAAGCUUAACUAACAAUCAGGCUUUUGAAUAUAUUAAAAGUGGCAAAACUUUGCAAAUACCGACGGGUGCGAAGCCACAAUUAGAGGGUUUGCUUAAAGCCUGUUGGAGUCAUGAGCCUAAAAAGCGUCCAACUGCUUCAGAGAUUAUCGAUCACAUUUCGAAUUAUCCACGCUUAUUGACGCCAUGUCUAGAUGUGCCGAGCGCUUCGGUGGAAAUGCCCGAAAUCGAAAGUGAUGAAGUGGAACUUUUACCCAAAUCACGGAAAUGCUCACCGUUCAGGUGUGAUUCCACACUGGAUAUUUUACCGCAAACCAAUGUCACGAACCAUUUUGUAGACUCUAAUGAUUUAAUCGGUAGUACUGAGUCAGUCGUACAUGCGGAUAUUGAAAUUCCUGUUAGCUAUACAUUAGAUGUGUCUCCAACACCGCGUUUGAACAAUAACAACAACAAUAAUAAUAAUACGAUACAUAAUAAAACGUUCAGUUUGGAUGAUUUUCAGGCGACGACUCCGGAUGGUUAUAGUGUAAUGUCACCGUUAUUUACGCAUCGCAUUAGCGAAAGUUCGGAUUCCUCGCAGGCGAGAUUGCUGAAAAAGUCCUCUUUAGAGACACUGCAGCAAACAGAAUUCUGAUAACUUUCGAACAUAUGCAUCGGUCAAAUUUCAUGUCGUGAAUUAUCUAGACUUCGGCUGUAACUAUUGUUCAAUAUUAGUCGCAUUACGCACCAACUUACCUGAUGGUUAACGCCACUUUUGUUUAGGUACCAUGCACACAUUUGUAAAUAUGCAUUUAUUUAUAUACCAUAUAUAUAUACGUACCUACCGACAUACAUAGUACAUAUGUACAUAAAGUGAAAUUAUGAAAGUCAAUGUUAAUGUAAAGAUUUGCUUUAACUAAUUACAUAAGUAGUUUAUAUUACUACAAAGGUUUGAAGCUCAUUAAUUGAUUAUGUAGGCAAAAGAGUGCCAUUGAAUUAGAUAAUAAGUGGUUUUCCCGUAGUUAAUACUGCUAACAGCUAACAUUGAAAAUCUCACUCUGUAAUCACGUUUAAGGUUUUCAGUUUAACAAUUUUUACUACAGAUCUCAUAUUCAAGUUGUGUCUACCGUAAUUGAAGUAAGGGGUGAUUCCUGUGCAGGGAAGGAUUUAUAAAAUGUAUGCUAUUGCCAAUAACAUAUAAUGGUGAAAAAGAAAUGUAUCCCUUUUUUCUUAAUUUUUCAAGGCCAAUGCCAUCAGUGCCAUCAGACCCAACUAGGGAUAUGAUUUUUUUUAAUUGAGAAUUUAUUUUUGGAAAUUGAAAUUGAAAAUGGAUAUCAUAAUUUUUAAUUUCAAAUUUGUUGUAACAAAUAUUUUUUUUUUAAUUCAAAAACAAUU